rnacentral:snoRNA from 1 species
AUCCCAUGAUGCGGACAGGCGGCGACGUAUUCCUACAAUCUUUCCCAUGCCUCCAGGAUCAUCUCAUUUUUUGUCUGCUAGAAGCUGGAUAUUCUUCCAUGAAGGGC